UCAUCCAUUUUCCCCUUAAUUGAAACCCCACCACCAAAUCCAUCACUUCUAUGGCUAAAUACAUCACCAACAACAACAACAACAACCUCUACAAAACCCUAACUGCACAAGCUUCAUAACUCUGUCUUUCUUUUCUUUUAGUUUUUUUUUUUUAAAAAAAAAAAAAACAAAAGGAAAAGAACUUGCUUUUUUCAUUAACUUGAAAAAUUAAAUGUUUGAGCCAUGGACAUAGCCCCAACAACAACUUCCACCACCAACACCAACACCAACAUCAACACCAACACAAAUACUCCAACUACAAAAUCACCUGACCAAGAAACUGAAACUCCAACUCGGAUCCAACCACCAAAGCCUUUAUCUUUCACAAACGGUGUCCUCAAGCGGCAUCACCACCACCACCACCACCAUCACCACCUUUCGGCUCCACCUCCUGUUGUCAUAACCUACAAAGAAUGUCUCAAGAACCACGCAGCUACUUUAGGUGGUCAUGCUCUAGAUGGUUGCGGAGAGUUCAUGCCUUCGCCUACAGCUACUCACACCGACCCAACUUCUUUAAAGUGCGCUGCCUGCGGUUGUCAUAGGAAUUUUCACCGCCGGGAGCCGGAAGAUUCUCCCCCUCCUCAUCAUCCUCAUCCUCAUCAUCAUCCAGUUAAUACCACCACAACAAUUGAGUACCAGCCACACCACCGUCACCACCCUCCACCUCCACCUCCGCAAGCAGCGCAACCAUAUCGAAGCCCCAAUUCAGCUUCUCCACCACCGAUCUCGUCUUCAUAUCCAUCUGCACCC
rnacentral:lncRNA from 1 species